AUACUUACCUGGUAGGGGAGAUAGCAUGAUUACGGAAGUGGUUUUCCCAGGGCGAGGCUCACCCAUUUCAUUCUGGAUGUAGACCUCUGCGAUUUCCCCAAAUGUGGGAAACUCGACUGCAUAAUUUGUUGUAGUGGGGGACCACAUUGGUGCUAUUUCCUG